rnacentral:rRNA from 1 species
UACAGAGGGGGCAAGCGUUGUUCGGAAUUACUGGGCGUAAAGGGCGCGUAGGCGGCCUUCUAAGUCGAACGUGAAAUCCCCGGGCUCAACCCGGGAACUGCGUCCGAUACUGGAAGGCUUGAAUCCGGGAGAGGGAUGCGGAAUUCCAGGUGUAGCGGUGAAAUUCGUAGAUAUUCGCAAGAACACCAGUGGCGAAGGCGGCUCACUGGCCCGGUACUGACGCUGAGGCACGAAAGCGUGGGGAGCAAACAGG